CCUGCUGGAGCUAAUGGGCUAACCCAGUGCUUCCUCUCUCCACCCCCGCUGCAGAGGGACAGAUGGUACAUACUGUUGGUGCUGCUCUAACUGCUCUGUCAUUGAUUCAGUAGUAACACAGUCGUCAGUCCACAGCCUGCCUGCCUGCAGAGAGAGAGCCAAAACAGGAAGAGAGAAAGAGAGGACACAAGGAGAGAAGAAAAGAGAGUGAUUGUGAGAGAGAGAAGCAGGGAAAGCGUCCAGCCAUCUUUCUGUCUCCAGUCUGAAAGCCACAGACGCCCUCUUUGUUUGGCGUCCCUGAUAUGACCCUGUUCAAAAGUGAGCACCACCGCAGCCCACGAUACAUUAGCAUGAGUGGAGAGCUGAAGUCCAGCCGUUCCAGGACCAGCAGCAAGAGACCCAGCAGCAAUCCAUACGGUCAACAGCAUGAUUACAGCACUGAGACUCACCAGCCCCCUGCAGAGACAGAUAGGACAGAGGGACUUUAGGUGUGUGUGUGUGUAUGUGUGUGUGUGAUGAGAGUGAGUUAUGUCUGUCAUUCAUCUCUGUGUGUACGUGGUUGUGAUUUUGUUUGUGUGUGUCAUGUGUAUGUCAUGCAUCUGUGCGUCUGUGUGUGUCUGGUUUGAUCCAUCUGUUUGAGAGAAUGAUGAACCAUGCUGAUACCAUCUGUAUCACCCACGUACUGUAUGCUACUCACCUUGAGGUGAUCAUGUAUUACAUUUAGUAGAGGCUAUGCUGAUUGUUCUAUUUAUACAGUGUAUUAAUAUAUGUGUAGGAAUUAAUAGGAAUUAGUAUGGGUACAUGAGUCACCUUUCAGGCACCUAUAAAUACAGUUCUUCUCUGGUUUAAAGUUUUACAGAAAGCAUAAGUGGAGGGUAUUUGCUGUGUGUGUGUGUGUGUGUGUGUGUGUGCGUAGACUUCAGGGCUGGGGUAUCAGUGGUCAGGCAGGGAUUAAACACACAGAGAAAUGCUGAGCUCUAUUUAACUACACACCAGGGUAUGAGCUACUUACCAUCAGGCUUAGUGUCACUCCUGUCUCUGCCCUGGUCUGCUCUACACACCAAACCGUAUAGGGUAAUCUAUAAACUACAACCUACAGCAAACUCUGCCCAUAUAUUGUAGGCAAAGGUGUGAGCAAUUUGAGUUUAAUCAAACACACACAGAGAUGCACAAACACACACACACACACAGGCACAUACACAGGUGGGUGCAUACACACCAACAACUGACAGUCUAACUUCACAGUAAAUGAGCUGGAAUAUGUAGAAGCACAUAGAGUGCGCAGCCUGUGGUCAUUGGUGCAUAACACAGGACAAUUUCUAAGGAUUUUCCACCUUGGGUGCUGUGGCACAACAAUUCCAAUGUCUUUUUCCAGCUGGCUAGAAAUCAUGAAUAGCAUAUUCCUUCCAGUUGCCAGAGCCCUGCUCUAACUAUGUACACACUAUUCCAGCAGCCUGCUUACAGAGUGGAAUAUCUCUGAUAGCACAGUAUAUUUAGCUCACCUAAUAAGGAACAGAUCUGAAAGGCUGCUUGUAUCAUAGGUAGAUGUUGUUUGAUCUCUCAGUUUUUCAUCAGCCUGUCUUAACGUUCUGCUCUCACAGGGGAUGGAUGACUUUGUGUGUGUGUGUGCACGCGCGUGUGUGUGUGUGCCGUGCGUGCGUGCACCAUGCAUGCGUGUGCGUGCAUGUGUGUCAGUAACACCUCUGUCAGUCAGCUGUGAAGAUAGUUGUGAG
rnacentral:lncRNA from 13 species